AUCUGAUAGGAGGCAUGGUGAGAAGAGAGGGCAAAAGGCCCUCCUUUUUCCUCUCUCUUUCUUCUUACAAUCAGUGUUUUGGUUCUAUUAAAAAAAAGAAUAUCUAUAUAUGUAAAUAUUUUAUGUAAUGAAUGGAUGUUUAUGUAUGAAAGACAGAUGAAGAUGAAGAGAUGUGCAAGAAGAGAUGGAUUUGCAUCUGCAUAUAGGUAAAACUUAUAUAAAUAUUUUAUAUAUAUAUAUAUAAAUAGCUUAGAGAGAGAGGCUUUGGCUAUCCUCUUGUUUGAGAAAUUUACAAGAGGAGACCAAGGAAGAUGGUGACUUGCCAGUUCCUAAGUUUGAUUUUUUUUUUUUAAAUAAAAUAAAAUUAUAGCAUUCUCCACCUUUUUUCUCUGUAAACUCUACUUUUCACCUUAGAUUAUUUCCAAAUGCCCCUUUUGUUUUGUAUAUUCUAAUCACCUCCAUUGACUUAGAAUGUUUCAUUUUCAUGGGUUGGGGCCAAAACUUUUGGUUUUUCAUGGAUUAAUG
rnacentral:lncRNA from 1 species